GGGGGGGGGGGGGGGGGGGGGGGGGGGGGGGGGGGGGGGGGGGGGGGGCGGCGGGGCGGCGGGGGGGGCGGGGACGCGGGGGGGGAACGGGUGGGCAACAGGGGGGUGGGCGGCCCCCAACUGGGGGAUAGGCCGGGGAAGCUGGGGCGAAUUCCCGAGAGGCCUGCAGGGGGGGGCCGGCGGGGGCAAACGCGCUUCUACGGGUUGGGGGUGCGCUCGCGGGCUAUCAGGUUGUUGGGGGGGUAAUGGCCUACCACGGCGGCGACGGGUCGCCGGCCUGAGAGGGUGGACGGCCGCAUUGGGACUGGGUUCCGGCCCAGACUCCUACGGGAGGCAGCAGUGGGGAGUAUUGCACAAUGGGCGGAAGCCUGAUGCAGCGACGCCGCGUGGGGGAUGCCGGCCUUCGGGUUGUAAACUCCUUUCGACCGCGAGGAAGCCACCUGGUUGGAAGGGUGGUGACGGUAGUGGUAGAAGAAGCACCGGCUAACUACGUG
rnacentral:rRNA from 1 species